UCGUACAUCAGAAUCAGCUUUAUUGGCCAAGUAUGUUACAAGAAACAUAAGCCAUUUGUCUCCGGUAGUUGGAGCCACUUUAGUGUGACAACAAACAGCCACUAUGACAAAAUAUACAUUGAGGACAUAGAAAAAACAUGUGUGAGAGUCAUCGAGCAAUAAGCAUAAGUAAAACCAUCUGUGAAAAAAAUGGCCCACUCUGGCCCCAUCUUGUACCGACUUAUUUGAGUUUAAAGAAACCACAACGCCUGAUGGAAAAAAACUACAAAUUAGGGACGGAAGGCGGGGCUGACAAGGUGUCAAUCACUUAUCGUGCACUAGCGUGUAAAUUCAUAGCAGAGAGACCCGCUGCGGCCUCGCACUUACCUGUUACCAUGUCCUUCAGGAGCUUUGCUGAGACUGCGGCAGAAUACUCACCUCUGGAAAGUAAUUGUAAAAUAAAAAAAUGGCCAUCCCUCGUUUGCAAACAACUGGGCAUAAGAAUAUCAAACAGAAGCAUUCAAAGCUAAAAAUAAAGAACUGGACAGAUCCCAGGAUGAACCAAGGAUGAUUACUGGAGUUGCCUUUAAGAGGUGGAGGGACCUCAGGCAGCCGAGAGAUUCCUAAGCAACACGGAAUUAGCAACAAUUCUGCUUGACGGGUAAGUUUAUCACCUCUUUUUGAUGGCAUUCCCUGGUUUUAAAACGUAUUCAGUAUUGUUGUAGUCCAUGCCUCAAACCAUUUUUUUCGUGUUAUUGCUUUGUUAGCAGCCAAAUUCCAUUGUAAGAUAAAAGCCGAUUACAUAUUUUGCAGCAAAACGUCAAUAUUUCAUAUUUGAAAUAUCUUCUGCGUCAGUCUAUAAAUGAACACAAAGCAUUUCAGUGGAUUCACGUCUCUCAAAAGAAAACCAUCAAGGAAGAUGAACGACUGGCGCUCUGAAGACAUCAAUCGACACCUUUUAACGCCUGUCUGUGCAAGUUUGGCCCAAAGAGUGGAAGGUCGGGCCGCGGGGGCAGUGGCCUCAGCAGGGAAGCCCAGUCUUCCCUCUCCCCAGCCACUUCAUCCAGCUCUUCCGAGGGGAUCCCAGACCA